UACGUAGGUGGCAAGCGUUGUCCGGAUUUACUGGGCGUAAAGAGCGCGCAGGCGGUCGUGCAAGUCGCGUGUGAAAGCCCCCGGCUCAACUGGGGAGGGUCACGCGAUACUGCUCGACUCGAAGGCAGGAGAGGGAAGUGGAAUUCCCGGUGUAGUGGUGAAAUGCGUAGAUAUCAGGAGGAACACCAAUGGCGAAGGCAGCUCGCUGGGCCGGUACUGACGCUGAGGAGCGAAAGCGUGGGGAGCGAACAGG
rnacentral:rRNA from 1 species